rnacentral:misc_RNA from 1 species
UUUCCGUAGGUGAACCUGCGGAAGGAUCAUUGUCGAAACCUGCACCAGCAGAGCGACCCGUGGACACGUUCGAUCGAUGGGCGGGGGAGCGGCGUGCGAGGACUCUCGCUCGUCCGCCCCCUCGCUCCCCGUCCGCCCGCGCAUGGCAUCGCCACCGCGCGCGGCGGGCGACCAACGAACUCGGCGCGGACUGCGCCAAGGAAACUUAAACAAGGAGCAUGCGCCCGGGGGCCGUCGCUGCGACGCGCUCCCGGACGCACCCCUGCAAUAGCAAUAUAAUGACUCUCGGCAACGGAUAUCUCGGCUCUCGCAUCGAUGAAGAACGCAGCGAAAUGCGAUACCUGGUGUGAAUUGCAGAAUCCCGUGAAUCAUCGAGUCUUUGAACGCAAGUUGCGCCCGAGGCCUUCGGCCGAGGGCACGCCUGCCUGGGCGUCACGCGUUUCGUCGCCCCACAGCUCCCUUCCUCCCCUCCGCGGCGAGGAACGGCCAGCUAACACUUUCGUGGGGCGGAUGCUGGCCUCCCGUGCGUCGCCGCUCGGUUGGCUGAAAAGAGGCAGCCCGUGUCGCACGGCACCCGGCGGUUGGUGGAUGACACUUGGUUUUUUGUCCCAUCGCCCAGCCGGCGCGACACGGCGCGCUGCGAGGACCCUCGAACUCCGCCCGUCUCGACGGGCGGCGGUUCCUUCUGCGACCCC